rnacentral:rRNA from 1 species
UACGGGGGGAGCAAGCGUUGUUCGGAUUUACUGGGCGUAAAGGGCGCGUAGGCGGUCGUGACAAGUCACUUGUGAAAUCUCCGGGCUUAACUCGGAACGGUCAAGUGAUACUGUCGGACUAGAGUACAGAAGGGGCAACUGGAAUUCUCGGUGUAGCGGUGAAAUGCGUAGAUAUCGAGAGGAACACCUGCGGCGAAGGCGGGUUGCUAGGCUGACACUGACGCUGAGGCGCGAAAGCUAGGGUAGCAAACGGG